UACAGAGGGGGCAAGCGUUAUUCGGAAUUAUUGGGCGUAAAGAGCUCGUAGGCGGCUUGUCACGUCGGGUGUGAAAGCCCGGGGCUUAACCCCGGGUCUGCAUUCGAUACGGGCUAGCUAGAGUGUGGUAGGGGAGAUCGGAAUUCCUGGUGUAGCGGUGAAAUGCGCAGAUAUCAGGAGGAACACCGGUGGCGAAGGCGGAUCUCUGGGCCAUUACUGACGCUGAGGAGCGAAAGCGUGGGGAGCGAACAGG
rnacentral:rRNA from 1 species